rfam:Bean leafroll virus, complete genome.
GCGCCACUAGUGCAUCGAAUCCUGGGAAACAGGCACGGAGAACAAAAUCCGGUAAGCUCGGGAAGCCGUCAACUUCCGCCGUAUUGAUGAAAACAACU